UGUAGCUUUUGCAUCUAAAAUAGUUGUCUCAAAGUAUGGAAAACCACAGAUAACAUAUUCAUUUGCUGACCCUAAACUAAGUUGGAGAAAAUCAUUGGGAAAUUGAAGACAAAGAAGUAAAGAAGCAGAAUUCUUGAACAAGUUGAGAAGUACUCCAAUUCUGUUCUGACCAACGAAGUGAAUAAAGAACGGGAAAGUCAAAAUAGAGCUACCACCAAGAAGGCUAUCGGUCUCAUAGAGUGGAUGAGUAAAUCAAAGUGGGCAUUAUGUACACUCUCAUGUAUGUUUCUAACCGGACAGGUGAUCUUGACUGCUCCCACAAUUGAGUCCCCCCCCCCCCUCGGUGGGCGGGGGGAGAUUUUUCUCUAUUCUUUAUUUAUUUAUUCUUUAUUCAUUAUUUCUCCUUUCUUUUCCUCUCCGAAAAUAGAAGAUAGGUUGGGAUGGCA